CCUACGGGCGGCAGCAGUGAGGAAUAUUGGUCAAUGGACGAGAGUCUGAACCAGUCAAGUAGCGUGAAGGAUGACUGCCCUAUGGGUUGUAAACUUCUUUUAUAUGGGAAUAAAAUGUUCCACGUGUGGGAUUUUGUAUGUACCAUAUGAAUAAGGAUCGGCUAACUCCGUGCCAGCAGCCGCGGUAAUACGGAGGAUCCGAGCGUUAUCCGGAUUUAUUGGGUUUAAAGGGAGCGUAGGUGGAUUGUUAAGUCAGUUGUGAAAGUUUGCGGCUCAACCGUAAAAUUGCAGUUGAAACUGGCAGUCUUGAGUACAGUAGAGGUGGGCGGAAUUCGUGGUGUAGCGGUGAAAUGCUUAGAUAUCACGAAGAACUCCGAUUGUGAAGGCAGUUCACUGGACUGCAACUGACACUGAGGCUCGAAAGUGUGGGUAUCAAACAGGAUUAGAUACCCUAGUAGUC
rnacentral:rRNA from 1 species